rnacentral:rRNA from 1 species
UACGGUAGGGUGCAAGCGUUAAUCGGAAUUACUGGGCGUAAAGCGUGCGCAGGCGGUUUUGUAAGUUUGUCGUGAAAUCCCCGGGCUCAACCUGGGAAUGGCGAUGAAGACUGCAAGGCUAGAGUUUGGCAGAGGGGGGUAGAAUUCCACGUGUAGCAGUGAAAUGCGUAGAUAUGUGGAGGAACACCGAUGGCGAAGGCAGCCCCCUGGGUCAAAACUGACGCUCAUGCACGAAAGCGUGGGGAGCAAACAGG